CCUCCUCCCUCCCGCACACAGGACCCCCGCUGCCCCCUAUUUUCCGUCGGCUCAGACGGGCUGGGGGCUGGAGCUGUCCCGCACUCCUCCAGCGGCUUCGCUCUGCCCCUUUAAGCGGUGCAGCUCCGCCGGAUCCUCCAGAAGCUCCGCAGCAGCAACGCGGCAGUAGGAGAAUGAGGCAGCCGGGCUAGGCGAGCCUGAACCGGGAUCAUGGCGGCUCCGCUCGGCCGGGAUACGCUACCGGAGCACUGGUCGUACGGAGUGUGCAGAGAUGGCAGGGUCUUCUUUAUUAACGAUAAAACUCGCAGCACUACCUGGCUCCAUCCCCGCACCGGAGAACCGGUGAACUCCGGACACAUGAUCCGCUCAGAUCUACCCCGAGGAUGGGAGGAGGGUUUCACAGAUGAAGGUGCCAGCAUCUUCAUAAACCACAACCAGAGGACCACAGCAUUCCGGCACCCUGUGACAGGACAGAUAUCUGCAGAAAACUCGGACUUCAUAUUGCAGGAACAAGCCACUAGCCGCAUGUCCAAGCCGCCGCCAGAGCCCGGGCCUCCCAGCAUGGUCAGCGAGACGUUAACCGCGGGCACCACUACCACUGUGGACACCACCUCAGGACUAAAGAGCUUGAAAGCCGGUGGGAAGGUGCACAGCUUUGGGAAGAGGGAUCACUCCAUUAAGAGGAACCCGAACGUGCCGGUCGUGGUGAGAGGAUGGCUCUACAAACAGGACAGCUCGGGGAUGAGGCUGUGGAAGCGCAAGUGGUUCGUGUUGUCGGAUUACUGCCUCUUUUAUUAUAAAGACAGCCGAGAGGAGACGGUCCUGGGCAGCAUUCCUCUGCCCAGCUACGUCAUCGCCCCGGUGGAGCCUGAAGACCACAUCAGUCGCAAAUACGCUUUUAAGGCCAGCCACACGGGCAUGCGCUCGUACAUUUACAGUAAGAACUCUGUGAUUGGCUCGCAGGCUGAGCACGGGGGCAUGAGGACCUACUUCUUCAGCGCCGACACGCAGGAGGACAUGAAUGGCUGGAUCCGUGCCAUGAACCAGGCAGCGCUGAUGCAGAGCCACGGCUUGAAGAGAGACGUUUCGAAGGCCGAGCAGCAGGCCAUGCCCCAGAACAACCACGUUCUCAGCAGCAGCAAAAGCUCCUCCCAGGCGGAGGGUCUUCACCAGCCCGUGUGGAGCGAGGUGUCGGACGGGGAAGUUCUGAGGCAGGAGAGGGAGGUGGAGGUGCGUCAUGUUUACAGUAAGGACGGUCCCGUAGCGCAGGUCAAGGCCUCCUUCACGGACGCAGACGGGCUUUCUCCAGAAUCCGGAGCCCCGUCCCGAGCCUCGUCCGCUCAGCCCUCGCAGAGGAACGGCCUGCACCCCGACCAGAACGGGAACGUGGUGUAUAAGAGGGGGCUGGUGCCGCGCAGCGAUACAGAGAAACACGUGCAGAGGAAGACGGCGCUGGCCCAGGUGGAGUACUGGGUCAAGGCCCAGAAAGGAGAUCCUAAAAGCCAUCCUCCCUCAGAGUAUACUCUCCCCAGACGGACUCCUCCUCCACAGCCCAAGCUGACGGUGAUGGAGGCCUACCAGUCGUUGCCAAAGACAGGCCGGCGCCCGUCAGCACCCAGCGCCUCGCCCCCGGUGACCCGAAACCUGCCCAGCGACUACAAGUACGCCCACGACCGCCUCAGCCACUUCCGCAUGUCCACCGACGAGCGCAUGGCCAACAAGGAGGGCAUGGUGUGGCAGCUGUACGAGUGGCAGCAGAGGCAGCAGUUCCGGCACGGCAGCCCCACCGCGCCCGUCUUCACCGCGCCGGACUACAUGGACACGGCCGCCGCCUUCAGAGUCACGCUGGAGGUCCCGCGCUCUAUAUCCGUCCCCCCGUCCCCCUGCGACAUCCCCCCGCCCGGACACCCCUCCAAACUGCUCUCGCCCCGCCGGCCCCACACCCCCGCCGACCGGGUCACCGUACGCCCUCUGGACGAGAUCUCAUCACUGGGGGACACACCUGUACCUGGCUCUCCCAGACGCUUCAUUUCUAAGACGGCUCAGAUGGAGAGGAGAUCCAUGCCGACCAUGGGCUACAUUACACACACCGUCAGCGCUCCCAGCUUACACGGGAAAACGCCGGAGGAGCUGACGCUGCUCCUCAUCCAGCUCAGGAGACACCAGGCCAAGAUGGCCAGCGUCCGCAGCGACGCGUUCGCUUACCUGCAGAACCAGCACAACGGCCUCUCAGGCCCCAGCCUGCAGGCAGAUGACACUUACAUGCAGCUGAAGAAGGACCUGGAGUAUCUGGACCUGAAGGUCACGGGACGCGACGUACUGAAGGACAGACCCCCCCAACCCGUCAAAAUAGCCGAAAGCGACGUCGACGUGAAACUGAGCAGAUUAUGUGAACAAGAUAAAAUCCUUCAGGAGCUGGAGGCCAGGAUCCGCACGCUCAAAGAGGACAAGGACAAGCUGGAGUCGGUUCUGGACGUGUCCCAUCAGCAGAUGGAGCAGUACCGGGACCAGCCGUCCCACGCAGAGAAGAUCGCCUACCAGCAGAGGCUGCUGCAGGAGGACGUGGUGCACAUCCGUGCGGAGAUUUCACAAGCGUCCACGGAGAUGGAGAACGCGUGGAAUGAGUACAGCAGACUGGAGGUGGAUGUGGAGCGUCUUCGCUCGGCUCUUCAGGAGCAGAUGAGCCGCACUAUCCUCUCGCAGCACGAGAAAGCUCAGCUGAGGAAGGAGCUGUGGAGGAUCGAGGACGUGAUGGCGGGUCUGAGCUCCAGCAAAGCCAACUACAAAGUGACCAUCGACUCUGUGCAGAACCCAGGUGAGCGCGGGGCCGCCCCCGCCGUCACCCCCAUCACCCCCACGCACGGGAGUCACGAGCGAGAGAGGAAACUCUGCAACACAGAGUUUCCUUCGGCGUUGUCUCCAUCAGUGCCUUCUCUCUCAGUGGGGGAGCUGAAAGGGGCUCAGGCCGGCCCCUACCUCAGCCCAGCACAGCCCGGUUUAGGGCCCAGUUCUCAACCCAGUUCACAGCCUGGCCUACAGACCUUCAGCCUGUCUCAGACUCUGCACGCGCAGAAAUGGGCUGAAGAAGAUGCUCCUCCCAGGCCUCCACUACCCCACCUCUACAGUCCGGAUGAGCACCCCCCAGCCGUGCCACCCCUGCCCAAGGAGACGUCCGUCAUUCGCCACACGUCCGUCCGCGGCCUCAAGCGCCAGUCAGACGAACGCAAGCGCGACCGAGAGGUCAGCCACUUCCCGCUGCCCCAGAACGGAGACAACAAGGUGGAAUUGCGGACGUUUCUUAGUGAACCCGAGCUGCUGGGAGUCGGAGGGCAGAUGGGCGGUUCAAGCCAUGAUGGGGGCUAUCAGACUUUACCAAGCAGAGGUCUGGCAGGCUCUUCUUCCAGGCUCAACCAGUCCACGAGCAUCUCAUCAUACGUCACCCUCAGGAGAGGAGCCACCAUGUCCAGCUUGAGGGACAGACCAAAGAGUGCCUUGGAGAGGCUGUACUCGGGGGAGCCGGUACACCAGCGGGGUCGUAUGAGUGCCGAGGAGCAGCUGGAGAGGAUGAAGCGCCACCAGAAGGCUCUGGUCCGCGAGCGGAAGCGAACCCUCAGCCAGGGCGAGCGUCAGGCCUCGUCCUUCCGCACCACCUCCUCCUCCUCCUCACGGCCCGUCUCUGCAGACCUGGGAUCAUGGAGGCGCGAGCAGGAGUUUGAUUUGCAGCUCCUGGAGCGGGCGGUGCAGGGCGAGGAGAAACCACCCGAGCACAAGGAGAGACAGCGCUCGCAUUCGGACGAGUGGCUCACCCUGCAGUCCACCCCCCUCCGAGAGCUCGACCUGGACCCCCUGGACUAUCAGCUGGACCUCAGCAGAGAGCUGUCUAAGCCCGAGAAGGUGAUCAUCCCUGAACGCUACCUGGACUUUGAGCCAGAGGAGCCGCUCAGCCCUCAGGAGAUGGAGGCACGACACCGCAAAGUGGAGCGCAUUAAGAGCAUCCUCGCCAAGUCAAGUGUGCAGAACAUUCCUCCAGCUGUUACGGUGGAUAAGCCGCUGCUGCCAGACCUGGACUCAGCACUUCACGAGCAGGAGAGGAUCAUCACCAUGUCGUACGCUCUGGCCUCCGAGGCCUCUCUGAAGAGCAAGCAGGUGGCAGCUUCUCCACAGGAUAACAGUCCCACAAUGCUCCCUCCACCUCCUCCUCCUCCUCCUCCACCUCCUCCUCUUCCUCCUACCACGCCUCCUGCUGCUCUCACUGUCUCCUGCUCUUCCUCCUCCUCCUCCUCUUCCUCCUCACAGCCGCCUCCCCCUCCCCUGAGCAAUGGAAUUCACUACACCUUUGUCUAAUCAAAGAAAGCAGAAAGAGAGGGAGGGUGGAGAGUGUUUACCUGUCGACUAUGUAGUAAAGCCAAAGCUGUGUCCGGUCAUUGAGGUGCUAUCACACGCCGAAAAAACUCACGCCUGGCGUUCCUAAACUCUACAGCUGGAGCUCAUCCAUCGCCAUCCAUCCUCUGAUCCUCUGAUCUCCUGCAUUCUAGAUGACAAUGAGCGCACUUUCGGACUUUUGGCAUUCAUAUCAGCGGACAAGGUGCACUUCACUUCAGAGACGCGUGGGGUUUUUGUACAGCUACACUAAAACAAUAUGGAUAUUUUCUAUAGGUCACGAGCCUUUUUGCUGUGGAAACUGCUGUGCACAUACUAAAAAAAAUACGAAUACGUCUAACAGACCUAACCGAGUGGUAGAAAAAGUUAUUUUUUACACAUUAUUGCACUUUUAACAUGCACUGUAUCAUAGAGCAAAUACGAAACUCAUUUUAAAACAUGUCAAAGCUCGUAGUGUACGGCGAGAAGAGCGUGGAGAGAAGAGCUGAAUAAAGGUAGCUGAAUAAAAAGAGAGGAGGACAAAAAACAUGAAGUAUUAAACAUGAAAAAUAAUACUGAAAUAAUAAAGUAAUAAAGACGAUAGGUUAGCUG